rnacentral:rRNA from 1 species
UACGGAGGGUGCGAGCGUUGUCCGGAAUCACUGGGCGUAAAGGGCGCGUAGGUGGCGCGGGCAGUCAACGGUGAAAGUUCGGGGCUCAACCCUGAAUCGGCCGUCGAUACUCCCGUGCUUGAGCACUGUAGAGGCAGAUGGAAUUCCGGGUGUAGCGGUGGAAUGCGUAGAGAUCCGGAAGAACACCGGUGGCGAAGGCGGUCUGCUGGGCUAUGGCUGACACUGAGGCGCGACAGCGUGGGGAGUAAACAGG